AUGUUGCCAUGGGUUGUGAUUGGUGAUUUUAAUGAGAUCCUUCUCUCCUCAGAGAAGGACGGAGGCACCCCUCGACAACAAUCACGUCUUAAAGCCUUUCAGGACGCCUUGUCUGAUUGCUUGCUAGAAGACUUGGGGUACGAGGGUGAUGUUUUCACGUGGUUCCGUGGUGGACUGCGGGAAAGGCUAGACCGUGCAGUAUCAAAUGCAGAAUGGAUGAGGUUACAUCCGUGGGCAGGCCUAUGCAACUUGGAGCUUGGUAAAUCAGAUCAUAGGCCAAUC
rnacentral:rRNA from 1 species